rnacentral:rRNA from 1 species
GACGUAGGGCGCGAGCGUUGUCCGGAUUUAUUGGGCGUAAAGAGCUCGUAGGCGGCUUGUCGCGUCGUCCGUGAAAACCCACAGCUCAACUGUGGGCUUGCGGUCGAUACGGGCAGGCUAGAGUUCGGUAGGGGGAGAUUGGAAUUCCUGGUGUAGCGGUGAAAUGCGCAGAUAUCAGGAGGAACACCAGUGGCGAAGGCAGGCUCUGGG